GGCGCCACGCAGGGCCUAACAUCGGGCUUCGAUUCCCCUCCUCGUGCGCAAACGUGGUUUUUCCGCGGACUUUCCCGGGAGCCACCUCAUCGUGCCUGGAAAUCCGUCUGCCACGUCUCAUAAUAAAUGUAUAAGUCUCUGAGCUGUAAAGCCUUGCGCAAAGGAAAGUCCUAGGAGAAAACUCUAUGAUGCCAGUUUCGACUGCUAGCGAACGAGAUAACGUGAGAAUGGAUGGGGGCUUCCGUGGUGGCGCAGUGGUUAAGAAUCCGCCUGCCAAUGCAGGGGACACGGGUUCGAGCCCUGGUCGGGGAAUAUCCCACAUGCCGUGGAGCAACUAAGCCCGUGCACCGCAACUAAGCCCGUGCACCACAACUACCGAGCCUGCGCUCUAGAGCCCACGAGCCACAACUACUGAAGCCCGCGCACCUAGAGCCCAUGCUCCACAAUAAGAGAAGCCACUGCAAUGAGAAGCCCGUGCACCGCAACGAAGAGUAGCCCCCGCUCGCUGCAGCUAGAAAAAGCCUGUGCGCAGCAACGAAGAUCCAACACAGCCAAAAAUAAGUAAAUAAAUAAAUAACAGGAGAAUGGAUAAAUAAACUUUGGUAUAUUUAUUAAAUGGGAUACUUCUCAGCAAUAAAAAGGAACAAGCUACUGAUACACAUGAUGAAAUAGAUGACUCUUACAGACAUUACGUUGAAGGAAAGAUGACAGA